rnacentral:pre_miRNA from 1 species
AUCACCUGGGGAUCUUGUCAAAUGUAGAUUUUGAUUCAGCAGGUAUAAGGUGUGAUUCUACAUUUCUAACAAGCUCCUAGGUGAUGCUGA